rnacentral:rRNA from 1 species
UACGUAGGGUCCGAGCGUUAUCCGGAAUUACUGGGCGUAAAGAGUUCGUAGGCGGAUUUUUAAGUCAGGUGUUAAAUAUACAGGCUCAACUUGUAUGCCGCAUCUGAUACUGGGAGUCUUGAGAGUGGAAGAGGUAAGCGGAAUUUCCGGUGGAGCGGUUAAAUGCGUAGAUAUCGGAAGGAACACCAAUGGCGAAGGCAGCUUACUGGGCCAUUUCUGACGCUGAGGAACGAAAGCGUGGGGAGCGAUCGGG